UGUGAUUUCCAUAAUGAAUCGCCUCUGUAUCGUUACCUUGCCGCUCUCUCUGCUAUAAGAGCUUUCUGUUUCUCUGCAGUUUGAUUCUUCUCUGAAACGUUUCUGAAACCUCUCUCAAUCUCAAGCCUCCUUCCAAUUCCUCUCGAAGUUGCAGAAACGUUUUUCAGUACGUACAGCUGUCUUCUCCAGCCUACUGCUGUUCUUAGAGAAGGAAGGGAACUAUGGGAAGUUCAGGGCAACCACAGUUCAUUGCUAGCACUGGUAACCGGAGUUUCUCAAAUGCGCCUUUGAUUGAGAACUCGGCUCUUGAUCAGAUUGUUGUCCCUGAUAUUGCGGUCGGCACGAUGGUGCACACAAAAGAGGCGGAGGAAGUCAUUUUUUCGGCAGUUUGAGUUCUCACACGUCGGGUGAACCGGAGAAGACCGAUUCGCAUGCGGGUCGAGUUCGACACGAGGUCAAGAUGUGAAGAGACGCUUGACCGGGCUGUUCUGAGCAAGAAAUUAGGAGGCCGGAGCGGAGAAAAAUUGCGGCAGAGCAUAUCACGCGACAAGAAGUUUUUUGGAAUUUUUCGGUGCGAUUUGGGGUGUUUUUGCGAGCCUCUUCUUGAUUUCAGUUGUUUGGUGGGUUUUGUGGUGAUUUUCGGCUGAAAGGAGGUAUUUUAGUGAUUUCUGGCAGCAGCGCAUACGGCAACGCGUGAGUUCUAAUGGUGGCAGUGUGUUCUUUUAAGUUUUCGUAUAUGAAGAGGUAUUCUGUUUUAUCAAAAUUUCUUGUUAUUUGUAGUAUUUCCGGAUAUCUAUGAUUGUUGUGUUUUCCGGGUAUCUCUGACGAUUGUGUUUUCGGUAUUGUGAGUGAUAUAUUUUUGUAAUUCCUGAAUUGAAAUAGAUGAUAAUAUUGUCUGUUAUUACUGAUAUUGUUCUCACACUUAUCCAUCUUAUCGAGCCAACAACAUAUAGCAACAUUCCAUCAAAGAUUUGAAAGAGUCUCUGUGGCAUAAAAGAAAUUCUUCAAUCUAAUAAGCUAUCUAUCAAAAGUAAGGGGGGUGUUCAUAGUCAAAAGCUACUAGAUUAGAUGGAUUCCAACUGAACUUCAACUUCUCAAAGUCUCUGGUUGACUUUCUCGAGGUCCAAUUUCGUUAUUCCCGCUUCUUCCG